rnacentral:tRNA from 1 species
UGGGGUAUAGCUCAGAGGUAGAGUCUAGUACACAGGAGGCCUUGGGUUCAAAUCCCAGUACUGCAA